UACGUAGGGGGCUAGCGUUGUCCGGAAUCAUUGGGCGUAAAGCGCGUGUAGGCGGUCCGGUAAGUCCGCUGUGAAAGUCGGGGGCUCAACCCUCGAAAGCCGGUGGAUACUGUCGGGCUAGAGUGCGGAAGAGGCGAGUGGAAUUCCUGGUGUAGCGGUGAAAUGCGCAGAUAUCGGGAAGAACACCCGUGGCGAAGGCGGCUCUCUGGGACGGUACUGACGCUGAGACGCGAAAGCGUGGGGAGCGAACAGG
rnacentral:rRNA from 1 species